AAAGGCCGCACACCUCACCCUGAUGAAGGAGGAAAAGGCCUCACGCCUCACCCAGAUUGGGACCGAGAUGGAGACGCAAAAGGCCGCAGAAAGCUUGUGGCUUGACAAGAUGGAUGCCGUAUACCACGACCUUUUUGAGAAGGAAAAAGCCGCAUGCCUCGCCCAGAUGGCGAACCAGUUGCAGAAGGAAAAGGCCGCAGGCCUCGCCCAGUUGGCGACCCAGACCGAGAAGGAAAAUGCCGCAAAACUCGCUCAGUUGGCGACCCAGACGGAGAAGGACAAGGCCGAACGCCUCGCCGUGAUAGAGAAGCAAAAGGCCGGAUGGCUCACCCUGAUGGAGACCAAGAUGGAGGCUCAAAAGGCCGCAGAAAGCUUGUGGCUUGACAAGAUGGAUGCCGUGUACCGCGACCUGUUUGAGAAGGAAAAAGCCGCAUGCCUCGCCCAGAUGGCGAACCAGUUGGAGAAGGAAAAGACCGCACGCCUCGCCCAGUUGGCGACCCAGACCGAGAAGGAAAAUGCCGCAAAACUCGCUCAGUUGGCGACCCAGACGGAGAAGGACAAGGCCGAACGCCUCGCCGUGAUAGAGAAGCAAAAGGCCGGAUGGCUCACCCUGAUGGAGACCAAGAUGGAGGCUCAAAAGGCCGCAGAAAGCUUGUGGCUUGACAAGAUGGAUGCCGUGUACCGCGACCUGUUUGAGAAGGAAAAAGCCGCAUGCCUCGCCCAGAUGGCGAACCAGUUGGAGAAGGAAAAGACCGCACGCCUCGCCCAGUUGGCGACCCAGACCGAGAAGGAAAAUGCCGCAAAACUCGCUCAGUUGGCGACCCAGACGGAGAAGGACAAGGCCGAACGCCUCGCCGUGAUAGAGAAGCAAAAGGCCGGAUGGCUCACCCUGAUGGAGACCAAGAUGGAGGCGCAAAAGGCCGCAAAACUGGCCCAAAUAGAGAAGGUAGAUGCCGCACACCUCGACCUGAUGGAGAAGCGAGAGGCCGCACACCUCGCCCUGAUGGGAGAUUGAGGAAUCAAAGUACAAGGAUCUCCAAAAAAAAUUGGAUUUCUUGUGGAAAAAGCUAUUUGAGCACGAGCUCAAGAAAAAAGCUCAAGUUCCCACAGAGUGCAAAACAGAUGAUCCUGGUGAAAGCACCAGCCAGGACCCGGGCGAUGAGAUGCCGGCGGCUAAAAAGCCCAAAAAAUAGACGUCCAAAUCAGGGCCGGUACCAUGGGUUCAGUUCUGCGGAGAGGUGUGGUACCAUGUGGCACCAUUUUUAAGUUAUCGUGCCGUGAAUUUACCAGUUCGGCCCACUUGGGAGUAGAUUUUUCUCCAUGUGGCCCCCCAUUUAAAAUUAGUUUGACACCCUUUGACACGACUUUCUUGGCCACGUCAGGCGGACAGCAGCAGCAGGUAUACGGCUGCUACUGCAAGUAGCUCUCCUGUGCUUUAUUAAUAAAUUGAGUAAUUGAACAAGAGGUAAAAUCGUUUGUAUCCUUUGUGAUAUGCUAGCAUGUUUAGAGUUAAAAGAUUUCAAACAAUUUUAUUUAAUUGUAUUUUCAAUAUGAUAUGCGUAUUUAUAAGGGGGGCGUGGCCUGGGCGUGCCAAGCUAGGCACACGUCUGCGGCUGAUUUGAAGUUGAUUGCAAUGUAACAAAGAAAUUUGCUCGGCUUUGUGCGUGCGCACACU